rnacentral:rRNA from 1 species
GAUGAACGCUGGCGGCGUGCCUAAUACAUGCAAGUCGAGCGAACAGACGAGGAGCUUGCUCCUCUGACGUUAGCGGCGGACGGGUGAGUAACACGGGAUAACCCACCUUUAAGACCGGGGAAAACUCGGGAAAACGGAGCUAAUACCGGAAAAAAUAUUUAACCCCCAGGGUCAAUUGUGAAAGAAGGUUUUUCUGUUCACUAUUGAUGGACCCGCGCCGCAUUAGCUAGUUGGUAAGGUAACGGCUUACCAAGGCAACGAUGCGUAGCCGACCUGAGAGGGUGAUCGGCCACACUGGAACUGAGACACGGUCCAGACUCCUACGGGAGGCAGCAGUAGGGAAUCUUCCGCAAUGGGCGAAAGCCUGACGGAGCAACGCCGCGUGAGUGAUGAAGGUCUUCGGAUCGUAAAACUCUGUUAUUAGGGAAGAACAAAUGUGUAAGUAACUAUGCACGUCUUGACGGGACCUAAUCAGAAAGCCACGGCUAACUACGU